GACGAACGCUGGCGGCGUGCUUAACACAUGCAAGUCGAAGAUAGUGGAGAACGGGUGAGUAAUACGUGGGUAACCUGCCCUCCUUUUUGGGAUAAGCCUUGGAAACGGGGUCUAAUACCGAAUAAAGGGGGAUGGGCUCGCGGCCUAUCAGCUUGUUGGAGGGGUGAUGGCAUACCAAGGCGGUGACGGGUAGCCGGACUGAGAGGCGGACCUGCCACAUUGAGACGGUGAUAAGGCCCAGGGUCAUAAGGGAGGCGGCAGUUGGGGAUAUUGCACAAUGGGCGAAAGCCUGAUGCAGCGUCGCCGCGUGAGGGAUGAGGGUUUUCGGGUUGUAAACCUCUUGCGCUAUCGAACCGGUAGGUGGAGAAGAAGCGCCGGCUAACUACGUGCCAGCAGCCGCGGUAAUUC
rnacentral:rRNA from 1 species